rnacentral:rRNA from 1 species
UACGGCAGCCAUAUCACCCUGCAGCCCAAGACUGGUUGCCCACUGAAGCUAAGUAGGGUUGAGCUUGGUCAAUACCUGGAUGGGAGACCUCCUGGGAAAACUUGGUUGCUGUUGGAA